rnacentral:rRNA from 1 species
GGUGCGCACUACGUGCGAUGGCUUGAUCUGUCGGUCUUCUCGUCGUGGCCUUAAGCGGCGCGGCGGGUGGCUGGCGAUUUUACUUUGAACAAAUCAGAGUGCUCGAUACAGGCGGCUUUGCCUGAAUGUUUUUGCAUGGAAUAAUAGAAGAGGAUUUCGGUCCAAUUUUAUUGGUUUUAUUGACUGAAAUAAUGGUUAAUAGAGACAAACGGGGGCAUUCGUAUCGUUGCGCGAGAGGUGAAAUUCUGGGACCGUAGCGAGACGACCAACAGCGAAAGCAAUUGCCAAGAAUGUCUUCUUUAAUCAAGAACGAAAGUCAGAGGUUCGAAGGCGAUCAGAUACCGCCCUAGUUCUGACCGUAAACGAUGCCAACUAGCGAUCUGCCGGUGGUAAUUCCGCCCUGGCAGGGAGCUUCCCGGAAACGAAAGUUUUUCGGUUCCGGGGGAAGUAUGGUUGCAAAGCUGAAACUUAAAGGAAUUGACGGAAGGGCACCACCAGGAGUGGAGCCUGCGGCUUAAUUUGACUCAACACGGGAAAACUCACCCGGCCCGGACACUAUAAGGAUUGACAGAUUGAUAGCUCUUUCAUGAUUUGGUGGAUGGUGGUGCAUGGCCGUUCUUAGUUCGUGGAUCGAUUUGUCUGGUUUAUUCCGAUAACGAGCGAGACUCUAGUCUAUUAAAUAGUGGCGGCAUUUUUAUGUGUCGUCUACUUCUUAAAGAGAUUUUCGG